rnacentral:rRNA from 1 species
GGGUGAGUAACGCGUGGGUGACCUACCUUCGAGUGGGGGACAACCUUCCGAAAGGAAGGCUAAUACCGCAUAAUAUCGGGUGGCGAUCAAAGCCGGGGGCGCUUGUUGACGGACCCGCGUCCGAUUAGCUUGUUGGUAGGGUAACGGCCUACCAAGGCCACGAUCGGUAGCCGGCCUGAGAGGGCGGACGGCCACACUGGGACUGAGAUACGGCCCAGACUUCUACGGGAGGCAGCAGUAGGGAAUUGUUCGCAAUGGGCGAAAGCCUGACGACGCAACGCCGCGUGGAGGACGAAGACCUUCGGGUUGUAAACUCCUGUCGAGCGAGAAGAAUUCGGUACCGCUAAAGGAAGCCCCGGCUAACUCCGUGCCAGCAGCCGCGGUAAUACGGGGGGGGCAAGCGUUGUUCGGAUUUACUGGGCGUAAAGGGCUCGUAGGCGGCCGCUCAAGUCGGUUGUGAAAUCCCCGGGCUCAACUCGGGAA